ensembl:snRNA
AAAAAGGGCUUCUGCUGUGUUUAGCACAGGAGAGGUGGGGUUUCCACUUCUUCUGCGGAAUCGCUAUCAAGAGAUUUCGGAAGCAUAAUUUUUACACGUAGGGGUGCUGAUGAUCGUCUGUCUCGGCGCCCCC